rnacentral:rRNA from 1 species
CUACGGGCCGCUCCAGUGAGGAAUAUUGCACAAUGGGGGGAACCCUGAUGCAGCAACGCCGCGUGGAGGAUGACGCAUUUCGGUGUGUAAACUCCUUUUAUAUGUCAAGAAAAUGACGGUAGCAUAUGAAUAAGCACCGGCUAACUCCGUGCCAGCAGCCGCGGUAAUACGGAGGGUGCAAGCGUUACUCGGAAUCACUGGGCGUAAAGGACGCGUAGGCGGGUUGGAAAGUCAGGUGUGAAAUCCUACAGCUUAACUGUAGAACUGCACUUGAAACUUCUAAUCUAGAGUAUGGGAGGGGGAGAUGGAAUUAGUGGUGUAGUGGUAAAAUCCGUAGAUAUCACUAGGAAUACCUAAAGCGAAGGCGAUCUCCUGGAACAUUACUGACGCUAAGGCGUGAAAGCGUGGGGAGCAAACAGGAUUAGAUACCCGCGUAGUC